GAUUUCUGGUUUGAUAUGCCUGGCCCGCCACGGUCACGUGUGUGAGUGCCGGUGCGUGUCUGCCAUCCUUGUGGAAAACGUGUCUACCCUUCACUGGGCCGGAUACGCUAUCCGCAUCAUUUACUUUGAAAAAAUUAGAGUGUUUAAAGCAGGCAUCUUGCUAUGAAUACAUUAGCAUGGAAUAAUAAUUUAGGACUUUGGCCCUAUUUUGUUGGUUUCUAGGACUGAAGUAAUGAUUGAUAGGGAUAGUUGGGGGUGCUAGUAUUCAGCGGCCAGAGGUGAAAUUCUCGGAUUCGCUGAAGACUAACUUAUGCGAAAGCAUU
rnacentral:rRNA from 1 species